GAUGAACGCUGGCGGCGUGCCUAAUACAUGCAAGUCGAGCGAACAGACGAGGAGCUUGCUCCUCUGACGUUAGCGGCGGACGGGUGAGUAACACGUGGAUAACCUACCUAUAAGACUGGGAUAACUUCGGGAAACCGUAGCUAAUACCGGAUAAUAUAUUGAACCGCAUGGUUCAAUAGUGAAAGACGGUUUUGCUGUCACUUAUAGAUGGAUCCUCGCCGCAUUAGCUAGUUGGUAAGGUAACGGCUUACCAAGGCGACGAUGCGUAGCCGACCUGAGAGGGUGAUCGGCCACACUGGAACUGAGACACGGUCCAGACUCCUACGGGAGGCAGCAGUAGGGAAUCUUCCGCAAUGGGCGAAAGCCUGACGGAGCAACGCCGCGUGAGUGAUGAAGGUCUUCGGAUCGUAAAACUCUGUUAUUAGGGAAGAACAAAUGUGUAAGUAACUAUGCACGUCUUGACGGUACCUAAUCAGAAAGCCACGGCUAACUACGUG
rnacentral:rRNA from 1 species